GGAGGCUUAGCUCAGCUGGGGAGAGCAUCUGCCUUACAAGCAGAGGGGUCGGCGGUUCGAUCCCGUCAGCCUCCACCA
rnacentral:tRNA from 1 species